GACGAACGCUGGCGGCGUGCUUAACACAUGCAAGUCGAACGGUAAGGCCCUUCGGGGUACACGAGUGGCGAACGGGUGAGUAACACGUGGGUGAUCUGCCCUGCACUUCGGGAUAAGCCUGGGAAACUGGGUCUAAUACCGGAUAGGACCACUGCCUGCAUGGGUGGUGGUGGAAAGCUUUUGCGGUGUGGGAUGGGCCCGCGGCCUAUCAGCUUGUUGGUGGGGUGAUGGCCUACCAAGGCGACGACAGGUAGCCGGCCUGAGAGGGUGACCGGCCACACUGGGACUGAGAUACGGCCCAGACUCCUACGGGAGGCAGCAGUGGGGAAUAUUGCACAAUGGGCGCAAGCCUGAUGCAGCGACGCCGCGUGAGGGAUGACGGCCUUCGGGUUGUAAACCUCUUUCAGCACCGACGAAGCGCAAGUGACGGUAGGUGCAGAAGAAGGGCCGGCCAACUACGUGCCAGCCGCCGCGGUAA
rnacentral:rRNA from 1 species